GAUGAACGCUGGCGGCGUGCCUAAUACAUGCAAGUCGAGCGAACAGACGAGGAGCUUGCUCCUCUGACGUUAGCGGCGGACGGGUGAGUAACACGUGGAUAACCUACCUAUAAGACUGGGAUAACUUCGGGAAACCGGAGCUAAUACCGGAUAAUAUAUUGAACCGCAUGGUUCAAUAGUGAAAGACGGUUUUGCUGUCACUUAUAGAUGGAUCCGCGCCGCAUUAGCUAGUUGGUAAGGUAACGGCUUACCAAGGCAACAAUGCGUAGCCGACCUGAGAGGGUGAUCGGCCACACUGGAACUGAGACACGGUCCAGACUCCUACGGGAGGCAGCAGUAGGGAAUCUUCCGCAAUGGGGGAAAGCCUGACGGAGCAACGCCGCGUGAGUGAUGAAGGUCUUCGGAUCGUAAAACUCUGUUAUUAGGGAAGAACAAAUGUGUAAGUAACUAUGCACGUCUUGACGGUACCUAAUCAGAAAGCCACGGCUAACUACGUG
rnacentral:rRNA from 1 species